GGGCGGAGGAUCCAGUGCCGAAUGAAGCGUGACUUGAACAUUGCGGUUGAGCGAAACGGCCGGAUAGAAAACGCCGCAUAGGUCGACGAAUGCCACCGUACCCUAAAGAGAAAAAAGAAAAAUUAUCGACCGUUCCCGGCUCUUCGUUGACGAAGAAACUCAACUGACGCCGGUCGAGGUCGAGUAGGACACCAAUUGUAGAACCGACGUCGAUUCCGCCAUCGGUUCGAUGGCUGUGCACGUUAUUGUGUAGGAACCAGGACCGUUGAUGGUCAAUGUACAUGGACCAUCCUAAUUCGUCUUUGCCUGAUACCCAGCAUGGAAUCUCUUGCGACGUCUCGCCUAGCGACGCCAAAUGCUGGAUCGGCUGCUCCAUCGUAACGGUCGACGGUGAAUUCCCAGUAGUGGACGCCACGUGAGAAACCGACCGAACUAAGCAGAACACGCGGUUCGUAACUGUCGGUCGUGGCAGUUAGUCCGUCUGGCGAUAAACGAGUUUCUGCUGGAUAGGCUGUCAUAUCAAAUGUGGAAAUGGAACACCCUUGCGGAUAACAAUUAAAAAAUGUUUCACCUUCGGCCGUGUGAAGACCCAGCGAAUCGCUGUAGGGCCCUUCACCGCUGCUGUUGAAGGCUUUAACACGGGCGUUAUAAAGCGAAUUGAAAUGCAGGCCGUCCACCGUGCAGAUGGUUUCCUUGCCACAGUAAACCUCCUAGGUGAACAUAUCGCGUGAGAAAUUUUUAAUUAUAUUCCCAUUAGAAUAAUAACAUUUUUUGUUUUUCUUCGGUGUGGGACUUACGCGGAAACGGCCGGCGGCGACGCCUCCUCCAUCGUCCAGCUCGAGGACGUAACCUUCGACAAAGGAGGCCGGAUGCGGUUGCCAGGCUACGUGGACAUGAUCAUCUGGUGAGGAGAGGGAUCGUAACUCCAUUUCCCCGCAAUUGUCUAUUCACUCCCGUUUGAUCGUUUACUACGGCCGUAAGCCAGUCAAUCGGCAUGCGCCUGUGCGUGCGUGAUUCGCAUGUCAAGCUCCGUGUAAUUCGAUUGAGUCACGGCUAGACGUAAAGCUCCUUAGCUGACCGUUGUCUACCCGAAAAGACGAAUGACUUGCGGCGUUUUCCCUCCCAAAGACAAAGAAAAAGUUGCCUUUUUAAGACUCCAAUUUCAAGCGUGUACGUGUGUGACUGAAACUUUUGGCCGGCCCCUGUGGCAACCGUCCCGAUAAUUCUCUUUGGCCACGAAAAAAAAAAGAACGAAAUUUAAUAGAGUUCGCGAUUUCUCUUCAUCUAAGGCGAUAGCCUGACAUGGGGGAAUACACUGGCCAAAAUGGUAUCCAUCUUCAUCUAAUAAAGGCAGUGAAACGCGCCAGACAUGUUCCAAGAGAACUAUGCCUUUGCUUAGAACUUUGGGUGAAACUGUUGCGUGGGAUCGUGCGGUUCUCCAUUAAUCAUCGGCCAAUUCCCCGCAGCCGAGCGGGAAGUUUGUCAUUAAGCUGAAAAAGCCGAGCAGAACGAUGGAGGCCAUACUCUCCUCGUUUCCCAAUAAUCGCACAGAGCGAGAUAUUGCAUUUCUAAGAACGUGCGCUGUGCCCGCUGGAAAGUCAGUUGGUCAAUGUUGCGCCGAAGACCUAAAUCGUCCAACGUGAGCUCAAGUGUCGGACUAGCCCGAUUGGUCAAUUCGUCCAUUUCCUGUCGCCAUGUCAGAUCUAAAUUAGAGACGCGAUUGACUAGCAUCGACCCAAUCUGUAAAAUAAAGAGAGAAAAGAAAAACAAUCGAUAAAAGAUUUGAAAUAAAAUGCUUCGAUGCAGAAUUGAACGAGCGCCGUCGUGUGCUGCAGGUGGGCCGUGCAAGUGGCCACCUCUUCCCGCAAUCGUCGCAAUUGCAAGUCACGUUCACGCCGGGCAAAGUCCACCAGGGCUUCUUCCCUGCGUCGCAAUGCUUCCAUCAGUUCCAGACAUUGAACAUGGAUGGCCGAUUCGACGUUGGCACAACUCUCCUAGGAAAUAAAAAGAACACGGCAAAAUGGAUAGAACAUGAAAAUACCGACUUCAUUCAUCUUCCCGCCGACAGAUGGCCACCCGUCAUUUACCUGGACUCGUUCCGACGAGCUCUUCAAGCGAUGGAUCACCUCCGUCGCACUUUUGGCUUUCUCCGACAGCUGUUGCAACGAUUGCGUCAACUCGGCCUGAAAUAAAUCAGAUAAGCGCCAAUAGAUGGACGUCGUGAUUUUGAUGACGACCGGCAUCUGAUAAAACGCACAAGUGGCAGGCUCCCAAUCGACAAGUGUUGCAAUAAUAAGAUUGGACCUGAUCACUGUGUUCGCUGCAGUGUGGAACGGCAUCUGAAGACGACUGCUGUUGCUGUCGGGAAGGCAACAAACAAAAAGAAGCAUUGAAUCUUCUAGGUGGGGUGACGAUGAUGUGGCACGCUAUUUUGCUUCAUUGGAUGACGGCUGUGAGUGGAGAUAAGAGCGUAGGCUCCCGCUGCAAGUUGAAAACCAAUUAUAAAGAAAAAGUUUAAGACGACGAAAGAAGGUGUAUAUACCAGGUUUCCAAGACAACGACGAUUCCAUAUCGUCCCGAACAUUAGAACCACAGCAUAACCAUAACAGGAUAACGUACCAACUGUAAUAGAUCUAUAACAAGAAGCGACUAUUCAAAACGCGGGAAUGGCGAUCGCGAGAGAACUAGUGGCUCCAGGUGAAGGGGUGUUCCGGCAGUGAAUAAUAUUACGACCGAUUUCACCCAUUCCGUAGUCGAAAACAAAGUCCUCUAUUAGACUUCCGUCAGCACCAAGAGCUUGAGCACGGACCCCAGCUGGCCCUCUGCAAAAUAGAAAUAAAAGUGCUCUUUUACAGCUAAACCAACGAAGGCGGAUCGGACUAUUUCUUGAACUCCGAACGAAGCAUAUUUCAAUGCUAAUUUCUGGAAACCACGAUAACUCAACGAAUCGGCAAGGUCUCCUAUACCUGUAUCCUUCACGCUUCAAAGCUAAUACAGCAUUAGGCCCUAGCCAAACAGAUCCAUCUAUUCUUGGGGUAAAGUGGACACCGAGGAAUGGGAAACGAGGAUCAGAUGCCCUACCGGGUAGAUAUUUCCUUUCACUAAAUGUGAUUUCGCAGGAUUGAGCAAAAGAUAUUCACCACGGAAAGGCACAAUGCGUGGCUCCCUCGAGCAGCCUGAAAGUUCUGCCAAACGAUCCGAUUGCAGGCCACCACAAGUUAAGACGUACCGGCAGCGUACAGAUUGCUAAAGAGUAAGUUUCACUUCCGAUUUACUAAUUGCUACAAGCAUAAUUGAAGAACACCUUACCCCAUUGCUUGCUGUGACUUGUAUGCCUUUUUUAUUUGCUGCCACCGCCUUGACUUUACUUUCUUGGGCAACUUUGAAAUCCUUAACUUCAAAGUUGAGAUGAAUUUCACCUCCUAGUGAUUUGAAAUCCUCGCCAUAAUAUUGGGUGACUAAACCCCAGUCCACGAUUCCGGUAUGUGGCGACCACACCGCUUUCAGACCCUAACAAUAGGAUAAACAAUGUAACACUAGCUGAACCAAAGAUGAUGAAAAAUCAUACUUUGUAUGUACCUGACAGUAGGGUUCUAUUUCUUUGAUUUUUGCUCCGUCAACCAUUUGAAUAUCUGGGACACCGUUCUUAAUUCCGCGGUUGUAGAGAUCCUCCAGCCUUGGCAACUCCUCUUUGGCAACAGCUACAAUAAGCUUGCCACAUUUUUUGUAGGGAAUCCCUUUCUCGUCAAAAUACUUGUAGGACAGGUGGAGGCCUUCAACACACAGUUUUGCUUUCAGCGAACCAGGUUUAUAAUAAAUCCCACCAUGUAUCACUCCACUAUUGUGCCCACUUUGAUGUGCAGCUGAAAUUAAACAGAAACAUCUAUUCAUAAAUUCAAAAUCAUUAUCCACCUUAUGUUAACAUCUUGAAAUGGGUCAAAUUUCAUGUUCAUUAGAGGCAUGAACUGAAAUAACAGGAUAUACAAAUUACCCAAACGGUUUUCUUUUUCAAGAACUGCAAAUUUUAAAUUUGGGUGUCUCAUUAACAUCUCCCUUGCAGCUGCCAUCCCAACAAUUCCACCACCAACAAUAACAACAUCAUAUUCUGGCUCCGUUCUUGAUUACAAAAAGAGGCAAUUAGCAUCUGAUUAUCUGUUGAAUGUUUAGAGCAAAAUGCACCACAUUUCAUUACUUAAUCUUUUAAAAUAGAGAUAUUGUUACCCUUGAGAUGAAAAUUUUCUAUUUAUAGCCGAUGACGAAGCUGGAAAACAAACUGCAUUUUGAACAUUUUGGUGGUUUCUCGAAAACGAAGUACAUUUGCGUGCAUUUCGGAAAACGUUGUGCAUUGUGGUAAUCUUCGACAAGUUGUUCGUUCGUCUUGUGUGUUACGUGAGAUGACGGUUUAUGUAAUGUUUGUUGUCGUGCUGAGGGUCAGGUCGACGAGUACAAGAGCCGGCAAGGGCAACAACAAGGUUGAACGUUGGUUCAGCUUACACAGUUCCACCACACUCCAAAAGGUGGCCUUCAUUUAUUUCAAAAAAGAAAUCACACUGCCAUCACAUGCUGAGCAGUUCUUUGAAUUUGUAAUCUCGUCCUUGAGUUGAUCUUUGAUUGUUUUCCGGUUUGAAAUCAAAUAAAACUAAUUCGUAAAAUCUUUGCGAUAACGUGACCUAGAUAAAGCUUAUAACAGCUGUAAAGGAAAACCAUGUAUUUUUCGAUUGGCUCCAAACUCGGGUAAGACACUCUUUCAUCUGUUUGGGUUCAUGAAUUUCUGAUCCAUAUGAGCACAGACUACGAAGUCUGUGAUAUGAGUAAGCAACGAUAAACGAACGUAAUAGUUAAAACAAAAAC
rnacentral:lncRNA from 1 species